GAGUUUGAUCCUGGCUCAGAUUGAACGCUGGCGGCAUGCUUUACACAUGCAAGUCGAACGGUAACAGGGAGCUUGCUCCGCUGACGAGUGGCGAACGGGUGAGUAAUGCAUCGGAACGUACCCAGUCGUGGGGGAUAACGUAGCGAAAGUUACGCUAAUACCGCAUACGUCCUGAGGGAGAAAGCGGGGGACCGUAAGGCCUCGCGCGAUUGGAGCGGCCGAUGUCGGAUUAGCUAGUUGGUAGGGUAAAGGCCUACCAAGGCGACGAUCCGUAGCGGGUCUGAGAGGAUGAUCCGCCACACUGGGACUGAGACACGGCCCAGACUCCUACGGGAGGCAGCAGUGGGGAAUUUUGGACAAUGGGCGAAAGCCUGAUCCAGCCAUGCCGCGUGAGUGAAGAAGGCCUUCGGGUUGUAAAGCUCUUUCAGCCGGAAAGAAAUCGCGCAGGAUAAUACUCUGCGUGGAUGACGGUACCGGAAGAAGAAGCACCGGCUAACUACGUGCCAGCAGCCGCGGUAAUGCC
rnacentral:rRNA from 1 species